CCAAGAAAAGGAAGCCAACGACCUUCUCCUGGGCCCUCACCAAAAGGGGUCUAUAGUAUCCAAAUGGAUACUUAGUUAUAUAAGAUGAUUGUGUUAAUACAAGGGUUUUUUAUCCCUCCCUCCCUCCAAAAGAAAAUGCCAAGAAAAGGAAGCCAACGACCCUCUCCCGGGCCCUCACCAAAAGGGGUCUACAGUAUCCAAAUGGAUACUUAGUUAUAUAAGAUGAGUUAAUACAAGGGUUUUUUAAGUGAUACAAGUCUAAUUUUGUGGAUGGUGAAUGGAAAAAUGACAAAAAUCGUAGAAAAAUAACAAUAAAUUAUGGAUAGCAAAUCCUAUUAAGAGUAUAUUUUUUAACUCCUUAAAUUGAUAACUUGAUGUUUAUUUAUAAGGAAUUUUAAAUAAAAAUCAACUUAACCACAUGGUAUGAGUGUAGCAACCCACCCUUACAAACACCAUUAGGGAUGACAACAAGAUAGG
rnacentral:lncRNA from 1 species